rnacentral:tRNA from 2 species
GGGCGAUUAGCUCAGCCGGUUCAGAGCACCUGCCUUACAAGCAGGGGGUCGUAGGUUCGAAUCCUACAUCGCCCACCA